AGUGAACGCUGGCGGUAGGCCUAACACAUGCAAGUCGAACGGCAGCACAGUAAGAGCUUGCUCUUACGGGUGGCGAGUGGCGGACGGGUGAGGAAUACAUCGGAAUCUACUUUUUCGUGGGGGAUAACGUAGGGAAACUUACGCUAAUACCGCAUACGACCUACGGGUGAAAGCAGGGGAUCUUCUGACCUUGCGCGAUUGUAUGAGCCGAUGUCGGAUUAGCUAGUUGGCGUGGUAAAGGCCCACCAAGGCGACGAUCCGUAGCUGGUCUGAGAGGAUGAGCAGCCACACUGGAACUGAGACACGGUCCAGACUCCUACGGGAGGCAGCAGUGGGGAAUAUUGGACAAUGGGCGCAAGCCUGAUCCAGCCAUACCGCGUGGGUGAAGAAGGCCUUCGGGUUGUAAAGCCCUUUUGUUGGGAAAGAAAAGCAGCAGGUUAAUACCCCGCUGUUCUGACGGUACCCAAAGAAUAAGCACCGGCUAACUUCGUG
rnacentral:rRNA from 1 species